GACGUAGGGCGCGAGCGUUGUCCGGAUUUAUUGGGCGUAAAGAGCUCGUAGGCGGCUUGUCGCGUCGAAUGUGAAACCCACAGCUCAACUGUGGGCUUGCAUUCGAUACGGGCAGGCUCGAGUUCGGUAGGGGAGACUGGAAUUCCUGGUGUAGCGGUGAAAUGACGCAGAUAUCAGGAGGGAACACCCGGGUGGGCGAAAGGCG
rnacentral:rRNA from 1 species